rnacentral:rRNA from 1 species
GNGUGUGAUGAAGGUCUUCGGAUUGUAAAGCACUUUAAGUUGGGAGGAAGGGCAUUAACCUAAUACGUUAGUGUUUUGACGUUACCGACAGAAUAAGCACCGGCUAACUCUGUGCCAGCAGCCGCGGUAAU